GAUCAGAGUUUGAUGUGGCCAAUGGGUCCUA
rnacentral:piRNA from 1 species